rnacentral:rRNA from 1 species
GAUGAACGCUGGCGGCGUGCUUAACACAUGCAAGUCGAACGAUGAAGCUAGAGCUUGCUCUGGUGAAUUAGUGGCGAACGGGUGAGUAACACGUGAGUAACCUGCCCCGAACUCUGGGAUAACUGCUGGAAACGGUAGCUAAUACUGGAUACGACCUACGAAGGCAUCUUCUGUAGGUGGAAAGAAUUUCGGUUCGGGAUGGACUCGCGGCCUAUCAGCUUGUUGGUGAGGUAAUGGCUCACCAAGGCGACGACGGGUAGCCGGCCUGAGAGGGUGACCGGCCACACUGGGACUGAGACACGGCCCAGACUCCUACGGGAGGCAGCAGUGGGGAAUAUUGCACAAUGGGCGCAAGCCUGAUGCAGCAACGCCGCGUGAGGGAUGACGGCCUUCGGGUUGUAAACCUCUUUUAGUAGGGAAGAAGCGAAAGUGACGGUACCUGCAGAAAAAGCACCGGCUAACUACGUGCCAGCCGCCGCAGUAACAC